rnacentral:rRNA from 1 species
UGGGGAAUUUUGGACAAUGGGCGAAAGCCUGAUCCAGCAAUGCCGCGUGCAGGAUGAAGGCCUUCGGGUUGUAAACUGCUUUUGUACGGAACGAAAAGCUUCUCCUAAUACGAGAGGCCCAUGACGGUACCGUAAGAAUAAGCACCGGCUAACUACGUGCCAGCAGCCGCGGUAAUACGUAGGGUGCGAGCGUUAAUCGGAAUUACUGGGCGUAAAGCGUGCGCAGGCGGUUAUGUAAGACAGAUGUGAAAUCCCCGGGCUCAACCUGGGAACUGCAUUUGUGACUGCAUGGCUAGAGUACGGUAGAGGGGGAUGGAAUUCCGCGUGUAGCAGUGAAAUGCGUAGAUAUGCGGAGGAACACCGAUGGCGAAGGCAAUCCCCUGGACCUGUACUGACGCUCAUGCACGAAAGCGUGGGGAGCAAACAGGAUUAGAUACCCUGGUAGUCCACGCCCUAAACGAUGUCAACUGGUUGUUGGGGAAUUAGUUUUCUCAGUAACGAAGCUAACGCGUGAAGUU